UAGGGAAUCUUCGGCAAUGGACGGAAGUCUGACCGAGCAACGCCGCGUGAGUGAAGAAGGUUUUCGGAUCGUAAAGCUCUGUUGUAAGAGAAGAACGAGUGUGAGAGUGGAAAGUUCACGCUGUGACGGUAUCUUACCAGAAAGGGACGGCUAACUACGUGCCAGCAGCCGCGGUAAUACGUAGGUCCCGAGCGUUGUCCGGAUUUAUUGGGCGUAAAGCGAGCGCAGGCGGUUAGAUAAGUCUGAAGUUAAAGGCUGUGGCUUAACCAUAGUACGCUUUGGAAACUGUUUAACUUGAGUGCAAGAGGGGAGAGUGGAAUUCCAUGUGUAGCGGUGAAAUGCGUAGAUAUAUGGAGGAACACCGGUGGCGAAAGCGGCUCUCUGGCUUGUAACUGACGCUGAGGCUCGAAAGCGUGGGGAGCAAACAGGAUUAGAUACCCUGGUAGUCCACGCCGUAAACGAUGAGUGCUAGGUGUUAGACCCUUUCCGGGGUUUAGUGCCGCAGCUAACGCAUUAAGCACUCCGCCUGGGGAGUACGACCGCAAGGUUG
rnacentral:rRNA from 1 species